GCUGGUGUCCUUACACUUUAAACACACAUGAUCUCAUGUAAUUUUAGAAGCUAAGCAAAGUUAGGCCAGGUUAGCACUUGAAUGUGAGAUGAUAAUAUGAGAUUUUUGCC
rnacentral:rRNA from 1 species